UACGUAGGGUGCAAGCGUUAAUCGGAAUUACUGGGCGUAAAGCGUGCGCAGGCGGUUUUGUAAGUCUGUCGUGAAAGCCCCGGGCUCAACCUGGGAAUUGCGAUGGAGACUGCAAGGCUUGAAUCUGGCAGAGGGGGGUAGAAUUCCACGUGUAGCAGUGAAAUGCGUAGAGAUGUGGAGGAACACCGAUGGCGAAGGCAGCCCCCUGGGUCAAGAUUGACGCUCAUGCACGAAAGGCGUGGGGAGCAAACAGG
rnacentral:rRNA from 1 species